AAUCCCACUGCCUCUAUGUUUAGCCAUCAAAACCACCCGUACAUCAAGACGCGACUUAAUGGGGUCAACGAGACCGGGAUAUGAGAUUAAACUGGCUGUGCAGCCUUGGCAUAUAAAAGCAAACUCCUGUGUCUGAAAUGUCACCAAGGAUUAGGGGAGCCUUUGAAGUUCCCCUCCCUGCAGGCUGCACCCGCCCAGCUUCCCUGGCAAAGGGCCUCCACGCCUGGGAGCCCUGGCCAGGCCCUGGGGGCCCUCCUUCGCGGUGGAAGAGAACCCCGUCCAGAUGACUGACAGAUGAAAGGCUUGGCCUCAGCUGGUGGAGGAGACAGCUACCGUGACCGUCCACAGCACCAGAGUUCAUGGCCACCUCCUUUUCCUGCACCUUUUAAGGUCCCAAGGGGUGUGGCUUUUUGGAAGAUGGCAUCACCGACUCAAUGGACAUGAGUGUGAGCAAACUCCGGGAGACAGUGAAGAACAGGGAAGCCCAGCAUGCUGCAGUGCAUGGGGAUGCAGAGUCGGACUCAGCGAC